AGAGUUUGAUCAUGGCUCAGAACGAACGCUGGCGGCAUGCCUAACACAUGCAAGUCGAACGAAGUCUUCGGACUUAGUGGCGCACGGGUGCGUAACGCGUGGGAAUCUGCCCUUAGGUACGGAAUAACUCAGGGAAACUUGUGCUAAUACCGUAUGAUGUCUUCGGACCAAAGAUUUAUCGCCUAGGGAUGAGCCCGCGUUGGAUUAGCUAGUUGGUGGGGUAAAGGCCUACCAAGGCGACGAUCCAUAGCUGGUCUGAGAGGAUGAUCAGCCACACUGGGACUGAGACACGGCCCAGACUCCUACGGGAGGCAGCAGUGGGGAAUAUUGGACAAUGGGCGAAAGCCUGAUCCAGCAAUGCCGCGUGAGUGAUGAAGGCCUUAGGGUUGUAAAGCUCUUUUACCCGGGAAGAUAAUGACUGUACCGGGAGAAUAAGCCCCGGCUAACUCCGUGCCAGCAGCCGCGGUAAU
rnacentral:rRNA from 1 species